rnacentral:rRNA from 1 species
AACGAACGCUGGCGGCAUGCCUAACACAUGCAAGUCGAACGAGACCUUCGGGUCUAGUGGCGCACGGGUGCGUAACGCGUGGGAGCCUGCCCUUAGGUUCGGAAUAACUCCCCGAAAGGGGUGCUAAUACCGGAUAAUGUCUUCGGACCAAAGAUUUAUCGCCUUUGGAUGGGCCCGCGUUGGAUUAGCUAGUUGGUAGGGUAAAAGCCUACCAAGGCGACGAUCCAUAGCUGGUCUGAGAGGAUGAUCAGCCACACUGGGACUGAGACACGGCCCAGACUCUUACGGGAGGCAGCAGUGGGGAAUAUUGGACAAUGGGCGAAAGCCUGAUCCAGCAAUGCCGCGUGAGUGAUGAAGGCCUUAGGGUUGUAAAGCUCUUUUACCCGGGAUGAUAAUGACAGUACCGGGAGAAUAAGCUCCGGCUAACUCCGUG